UCAAAUCAAUCCAGAAUUUUCACUUAAGGCACAGGUGACCAGGAACAAACUAUUAUACUUCCGACACAUUAUGCAAAAAACCAGCUCCCUUGAGAAGUCCAUAAUGCUGGGGAAAAGGUUGAAAGAAAAAGAAGAAGAGGAUGACCAGCAGCAAGCCGGAUGGACUCGCUGGGGAAAAGGUUGAAAGAAAAAGAAGAGCAUGACCAGCAGCAAGGCGGAUGGACUCGAUUACAACAACACCGAAUGCACCACUGAGAGACUUUAAAGGCCAAGCUGAAGACAGAUCAUCCUGGAGAGAAUCUAUCUAUUUAAUGAAUCAACUGAUUCUAUUUAGUAGCUUUUGCAGUUUGUUUGUUUGUUUGGGCAUAUGUCCCAAGGGGGAUCCUGUAGAGAGUGUGGGGGAGAAGUCAAGAGGAAAAGAGAGGGAAAGGGAAGGAGAAAAUGGAGUUGUUGCUGAAUAAACCUUUAGUUCAAUCUACUUAAGAUUUCCUUUUGUGUAUGAGGAAAGCAGCUACAAAACACUAUUCUGAAGAAUACAAUCACCAUUUGGUUAGAGAGCAGCUUCCUCCGGUACAAGGCACAGACUGAAGAAAGUCCAAUUUCAUCUAUGGAUCAGAAAAUACAAGAUGUUUAACAUGUCUUUGAAUCCCAUGCUUGGGAUUUUCCAUGUCUUAUUUUCAACCAGAAGAGCCACAGGAGCCCCUACUCCAGAUCAGGAUAGUGCUACACCAGGCGAGUGGAUAUGAACUAUUCUCUUCUGACAAAUAUCACCCUUGAAGUUGACACCUUUGAAGACUCUGAAAAGCAAGCAUUAGUUUUGACAACUGCACAGCUGAAGAAAGAGGUGAAAUUGGAAACCACACAUCCUCAUGGACAGUCCAGUUGAAAGCCACACCUCGAUCAUGUCUCCCCUGUUUUCCAAGGCUGAUGAAGCUUUGUGGGCGAAACGGCACAUAUCCGGAAGAGCCGUUCGACUUUGAUUCAUGAAUGACAUUGAUUCAUGAAGUUUGUUUUUCUCCACAAGGACAAGCAGUGGGCUUUAUCUCUGAUCCAGGUCAGCUUAUUUAUGGAAGCAUGCUCGACGGGUUCUCUGCUAUCAGCACGUUUGUGAUUUUACAUCUUCACCUCUGUGCGGACGGUAUUGAGCAUUUUGCCACUGAGGACGUCCACACCUCUUUCUGAGACCACGUCUGACUCAGUGCUUUUGUCAUCUGCCACUUCCAUUUUGAUUUUGAUACUUGAUUUUGCCUAUUUCAUCCUGCAGUCCAAUUUUUGCCUGUCUCAGUCACACCUCCUUCCUUAGCUUUUGAUUGUUAUUGCACAUGCCUUUGUUUAUGUAUUCUGCAUUAUGAGAAGCCAAUUUGUGUAUUGUUUAUUAAUGUUAUGGAUCAUUUAUUACUGACUUAUUAUUUCUGAAUAUAUAUUUCUAGUGUUUAUUUAUA